rnacentral:rRNA from 1 species
ACUAGUGGCCAUAUCACCCUGCAACUCACAACUGGCAGCCCACUGAAGCUAAGCAGGUGUGAGCCUGGUCAGUACCUGGAUGGGAGACCUCCUAGGAAAAACUAAGGUUGCUGCUAGAA